UCAGUUUUCGUUCAUUUUUCCUUUGAGCUUAUUUUUAAGUAUAACUACAUGUUUGGUUGCACGAGUCAGUCUUGAUCUUGUGAAUUACAUCAUAUGGCUAUGAAUUCUUUCUGUGAAUUAUCAAUGGGUUAAUGAAAUUCAGUUUUGGAUAUACGGAUGUUUGGAGCUUUUAAGGUAUAUUUUGUCUUGGGGAAAAUUGAGCUAGUGUGGAGGUCUUUGAUCUUGAUUCUUUGAGAUAUGGCUAGCCAUUGCAGUACUACUAUUUGGAGUGAAGAUGUGCUUCGUGGGCAUUAGUUUGUUGGCCCCCCAUUUUCCAUGUUAAUAAAAAAAAAAAAGGACACUAUUUGGAGUGGCUUAUAUGUACUUUUUGGUAUCUUGAUUAUUUUCAAUUGUAUGUGUACUUUUGCAACAUGAGCCAGAAAUCAGGGUUGAAUGAAUGUUUUGAUGUGAAUUAUUACCUUA